GUUGGCAAGAUUUCCAAAGACACUCUGCCCAAGUUUCCCAUCAUCUGGCAACAUAUCUACUAUAUACGUAGAAUAGGUUUGAUAGAGGUUCUGAUGCCAUGGCAACAUUUGUGAUCUCAACUUGCUCAUCUCUAACAUUUGUUUUAUACACCAAAGAACAGCUGUCAUUGUGCCAGAUCCCUUUGAAGUCAAACUAGUCAAAAACACAGUGCUAGCAUUGCAUUUACAAACUCUACACGUACCAACAAAGUGUGUGCAUGUUUGUAUCUGUCCGUCUGUCUCUCCUCCCUCUAUGUCUGUGCAAACACAUUUACAUACAGGUCCACAGUAACUUGUAGCUUAUUUUAUCAAUAUGCACUUAAAAAUGCCAUUUACCUGAUGUAUGCGUAUUUCCUAUAUAAUAUAUGAUAUUUUAUAAGAUG